rnacentral:rRNA from 1 species
AGAGUUUGAUCCUGGCUCAGGAUGAACGCUAGCGGCAGGCUUAACACAUGCAAGUCGAGGGGCAGCAUAAUGGAUAGCAAUAUCUAUGGUGGCGACCGGCGCACGGGUGCGUAACGCGUAUGCAACCUACCUUUAACAGGGGGAUAACACUGAGAAAUUGGUACUAAUACCCCAUAAUAUCAUAGAAGGCAUCUUUUAUGGUUGAAAAUUCCGAUGGUUAGAGAUGGGCAUGCGUUGUAUUAGCUAGUUGGUGGGGUAACGGCUCACCAAGGCGACGAUACAUAGGGGGACUGAGAGGUUAACCCCCCACACUGGUACUGAGACACGGACCAGACUCCUACGGGAGGCAGCAGUGAGGAAUAUUGGUCAAUGGACGCAAGUCUGAACCAGCCAUGCCGCGUGCAGGAAGACGGCUCUAUGAGUUGUAAACUGCUUUUGUACGAGAGUAAACGCUCUUACGUGUAAGAGCCUGAAAGUAUCGUACGAAUAAGGAUCGGCUAACUCCGUGCCAGCAGCCGCGGUAAUACGGAGGAUUCAAGCGUUAUCCGGAUUUAUUGGGUUUAAAGGGUGCGUAGGCGGUUUGAUAAGUUAGAGGUGAAAUACCGGUGCUUAACACCGGAACUGCCUCUAAUACUGUUGAACUAGAGAGUAGUUGCGGUAGGCGGAAUGUAUGGUGUAGCGGUGAAAUGCUUAGAGAUCAUACAGAACACCGAUUGCGAAGGCAGCUUACCAAACUAUAUCUGACGUUGAGGCACGAAAGCGUGGGGAGCAAACAGGAUUAGAUACCCUGGUAGUCCACGCAGUAAACGAUGAUAACUCGCUGUCGGCGAUACACAGUCGGCGGCUAAGCGAAAGCGAUAAGUUAUCCACCUGGGGAGUACGUUCGCAAGAAUGAAACUCAAAGGAAUUGACGGGGGCCCGCACAAGCGGAGGAACAUGUG